rnacentral:misc_RNA from 1 species
UGAAGAUUUCAUAGAAAAUGGAGAAUAGAAAAUUGUUUUCCACAAGUAAAUAAGCCUUUUCAAUUUUGUCCCAAAUUUCCUCGAUGAAGGUCUCCAAAAGUGCCCUAUAUACUUCACAUCUCUAUUGGAAAUAAUAGUUGGAACAUCUUGUAGUUGCACUAUCUCAUGAAAGAAUAACCUAGCAAUAUGAGUUGUGUCAAAGGUUUUAGAAAAUGGGAUAAAAUGUGCCAUUUUUGAAAAACUAUCUACCACAGCAAAGAUUCAAAUACAUUUGUUUUCUUUGCAAGUCGCAAAACAAAAUCAAUACUCAAGUGAUCCAUGGUGCAUCCAUUUCAAGUGAAAGGAGUAUAUAAACCUGUGAUUUGUGCAUUGCCCUUACCAAAUAAACAAGCUAGACACAUGGUAGUGACAAUUAACCACCAUUGCUAAAAGUCUUGCCUCUACUGAACUGUCCUCGCAAACCAUUCCUUUUAAGUUCUCUAACAAUUUGCUUCCUUAAAGAACCUUUUGGAUUGCAUAACUAGUAGUCUUCAAAUAGUUUUUAUGCAAUUUGUAAGGUAAUUUUCCAACUUGAGAAUUGAGAUGGGCGUUGCAAAUUGGUUAUUAUUUUGCUAAGGAUUAGACCUGUAUUGGUUCCUUGAUAGGUUAAGGAAUCCUAAUUUGUAGUUAUUUAUGAAAGAUAGAAAUGAGAAUUGGAAAAUUGGUGGAGAAGAUUUACAAGAACUAAUAAAAAAAAAAGGAAAAAAAAUUAAGAGUAUCAUGAGAGGCUCUCUCGAGCAUGAAUUCCCUUUUGCCCCAGAGCUAACAAACUAGCUGGAAAAGAAAACACAGCUACACAAACCCCUCAAUCUUCUAUUUCCUACCCUUUAUAUAGAUUUCUUGAUGCUCUUUGCCAUGCGCUUUCCCGUAAAAAUCUCUAACAGAGUGUUACUUUGUUGGAUAACUUAUGGCCUCCUAGAAUACACCAACUGUUUCUUCUUUGAUCUCUCUUCCAAGCCUUCUGAAGUAUUGCCUAUAUCAUUGCCACCUCCUGGAGUAACCGCCUUAUCCUCGAGGCUGAAUUGAGAAAAUUGACUCUGAGGGCCUGUUUGGAUUAACUGUUGAAUACAACUGAUAGCUGUUAGUUGAUAGCUGUUACUAUUAGCUGAUAACUGUUAGCUGAUAGCUGUUACUGUUAGCUGAUAGCUGAUAACUGAUAGCUGAUGAUAGCUGUUUUAUAUUAAGUGUUUGGUAAAAUUAUAUUUAGCUGUUGCUGUUGAUAUGUGAAAUGACUAAUAAGGGUAUAUAUUUUAUUAUAUUAUAUUAUUUAUUUUAUUAACUCCGCCUAAGUAGUUUACGUUUAGCCGGUCCCAAGUCCGGACAAAGGAGGAGGGUUGCGGUAGGUG